AUUAACAAGAUUGAAACAUUAUUCUCGAUACAACAGGAUCGAAAAUUCGCUAUGCUCGUAAUCAUCACCCAGUGUCGGUUCAAAAUAUUACAAUCUUAUUAAUUUUCUAUUAAUUUUGAAACUUAUCCAAAAGUUGGAACUCAUCCAUUUUGACAGAACACAUUCUUUUCUUUUAAAAACAAUUAUUUAUAUAUUUUGAGAACUUAUCUCAUAAUAUCAUCACACAGAUACAAAAAAAAUACUUAUGCCAAAAUUUAAUUUGAAAAACGUCGAUGCUACGCAAAACACAUUCCUUUACACGGCCUUAAUUAUUACAUCACCUUUUGCAUAGU
rnacentral:lncRNA from 1 species